rnacentral:rRNA from 1 species
GAUGAACGCCGGCGGCGUGCCUAAUACAUGCAAGUCGAGCGAACAGAUGAGAAGCUUGCUUCUCUGAUGUUAGCGGCGGACGGGUGAGUAACACGUGGGUAACCUACCUAUAAGACUGGGAUAACUCCGGGAAACCGGGGCUAAUACCGGAUAAUAUUUUGAACCGCAUGGUUCAAUAGUGAAAGACGGUUUCGGCUGUCACUUAUAGAUGGACCCGCGCCGUAUUAGCUAGUUGGUAAGGUAACGGCUUACCAAGGCGACGAUACGUAGCCGACCUGAGAGGGUGAUCGGCCACACUGGAACUGAGACACGGUCCAGACUCCUACGGGAGGCAGCAGUAGGGAAUCUUCCGCAAUGGGCGAAAGCCUGACGGAGCAACGCCGCGUGAGUGAUGAAGGUCUUCGGAUCGUAAAACUCUGUUGUUAGGGAAGAACAAAUUUGUUAGUAACUGAACAAGUCUUGACGGUACCUAACCAGAAAGCCACGGCUAACUACGUGCCAGCAGCCGCGGUAAUACGUAGGUGGCAAGCGUUAUCCGGAAUUAUUGGGCGUAAAGCGCGCGUAGGCGGUUUCUUAAGUCUGAUGUGAAAGCCCACGGCUCAACCGUGGAGGGUCAUUGGAAACUGGGAAACUUGAGUGCAGAAGAGGAGAGUGGAAUUCCAUGUGUAGCGGUGAAAUGCGCAGAGAUAUGGAGGAACACCAGUGGCGAAGGCGGCUCUCUGGUCUGUAACUGACGCUGAUGUGCGAAAGCGUGGGGAUCAAACAGGAUUAGAUACCCUGGUAGUCCACGCCGUAAACGAUGAGUGCUAAGUGUUAGGGGGUUUCCGCCCCUUAGUGCUGCAGCUAACGCAUUAAGCACUCCGCCUGGGGAGUACGACCGCAAGGUUGAAACUCAAAGGAAUUGACGGGGACCCGCACGAGCGGUGGAGCAUGUGGUUUAAUUCGAAGCAACGCGAAGAACCUUACCAAAUCUUGACAUCCUUUGACCGCUCUAGAGAUAGAGUCUUCCCCUUCGGGGGACAAAGUGACAGGUGGUGCAUGGUUGUCGUCAGCUCGUGUCGUGAGAUGUUGGGUUAAGUCCCGCAACGAGCGCAACCCUUAAGCUUAGUUGCCAUCAUUAAGUUGGGCACUCUAGGUUGACUGCCGGUGACAAACCGGAGGAAGGUGGGGAUGACGUCAAAUCAUCAUGCCCCUUAUGAUUUGGGCUACACACGUGCUACAAUGGAUAAUACAAAGGGCAGCGAAUCCGCGAGGCCAAGCAAAUCCCAUAAAAUUAUUCUCAGUUCGGAUUGUAGUCUGCAACUCGACUACAUGAAGCUGGAAUCGCUAGUAAUCGUAGAUCAGCAUGCUACGGUGAAUACGUUCCCGGGUCU